rnacentral:rRNA from 1 species
GACGAACGCUGGCGGCGUGCUUAACACAUGCAAGUCGAACGGAAAGGCCCUGCUUUUGUGGGGUGCUCGAGUGGCGAACGGGUGUGAAACACGUGAGUAACCUGCCCUUGACUUUGGGAUAACUUCAGGAAACUGGGGCUAAUACCGGAUAGGAGCUCCUGCUGCGUGGUGGGGGUUGGAAAGUUUCGGCGGUUGGGGAUGGACUCGCGGCUUAUCAGCUUGUUGGUGGGGUAGUGGCUUACCAAGGCUUUGACGGGUAGCCGGCCUGAGAGGGUGACCGGCCACAUUGGGACUGAGAUACGGCCCAGACUCCUACGGGAGGCAGCAGUGGGGAAUAUUGCACAAUGGGCGGAAGCCUGAUGCAGCGACGCCGCGUGCGGGAUGACGGCCUUCGGGUUGUAAACCGCUUUCGCCUGUGACGAAGCGUGAGUGACGGUAAUGGGUAAAGAAGCACCGGCUAACUACGUG